AGAGUUUGAUCCUGGCUCAGGAUGAACGCUAGCUACAGGCUUAACACAUGCAAGUCGAGGGGAAACGACAUCGAAAGCUUGCUUUUGAUGGGCGUCGACCGGCGCACGGGUGAGUAGCGCGUAUCCAACCUGCCCAUCACUUGGGGAUAACCUUGCGAAAGUAAGACUAAUACCCAAUGAUAUCUCUAGAAGACAUCUGAAAGAGAUUAAAGAUUUAUCGGUGAUGGAUGGGGAUGCGUCUGAUUAGCUUGUUGGCGGGGUAACGGCCACCAAGGCUACGAUCAGUAGGGGUUCUGAGAGGAAGGUCCCCCANAUUGGAACUGAGACACGGUCCAAACUCCUACGGGAGCA
rnacentral:rRNA from 1 species